AAGAUGGCGACCGGCGCACGGGUGAGUAACACGUAUCCAACCUGUCGAUAACUCUGGAAUAGCCUUUCGAAAGAAAGAUUAAUACCGGAUGGCAUACGAAUAUCGCAUGAUAUUUUUAUUAAAGAAUUUCGGUUAUCGAUGGGGAUGCGUUCCAUUAGUUUGUUGGCGGGGUAACGGCCCACCAAGACAACGAUGGAUAGGGGUUCUGAGAGGAAGGUCCCCCACAUUGGAACUGAGACACGGUCCAA
rnacentral:rRNA from 1 species